CCACGUGCAUCCCGCGGAAUCACUUAGCAACCAGCGCAUCAGCGGUGAGCUGCGCCCGGGCUUUAGCCGAGAGAUGGAGCCGCGGGGUUUGAUGGGGCCUCAGGACAAAGUUGCUGGGCGGCCAGAGAAGUUGGGGAUGCAAUAAUUGCAACUACUACUUGGAGUUGUUAGAAGACUAAAUCGAAUGUUGGUCUUUGUAUGCACGAGCCUGGCCUGCAAUCCAUGGCCCGUUCGCCCAGUGGGAAUAAUGCAAUCUGUGUUUUUUGCCUAGCUCCCAAGAUAAGAAUAAUUUUUUACAUUGUUAAAUGGAAAAAUUCCAAAGAAGAAUGAUAUUUUUUACCAUAAGAAAACUAUGAAAUUCAAAUUUCAGUGCUGAUAAAUAAAGCUGUCUACCACACGAAGCCUCUCUCUACUCCUUCUGCUUUGCUGAGGUCUCAAUGAUUAGCAUUUGGUUCCCUCUGCAAUUCUUGAAUUGUUUCCUGUGAGUCAGUCAGUCACGUUAGCAACACAGGGCCUGCAACUUGCUUCAUACUGCUCUUUCUCAAUGGUGUACAGCACACAUGAGGUAUAUGACAAAUACCAAGUACUAAAUACAAAAUUCCUCUGUGGCUUAAUUAGGAUUUUUCCCUGAAACAGACCUCAAGAUGAGAGUUCCAAUACAAAUAUUGUUAUGUAUUUCUUAAAGUAAGGGAUACAUCUGAGAAAUGUGCUGUCAUUAGGUGAUUUCAUUAUUAUGUGAACAUAAUAGAGUAUACUUACAAAAACAAGACAGCUAUGA